rnacentral:rRNA from 1 species
UACAGAGGGGGCAAGCGUUAAUCGGAAUUACUGGGCGUAAAGCGCGCGUAGGUGGUUCGUUAAGUUGGAUGUGAAAUCCCCGGGCUCAACCUGGGAACUGCAUUCAAAACUGACGAGCUAGAGUAUGGUAGAGGGUGGUGGAAUUUCCUGUGUAGCGGUGAAAUGCGUAGAUAUAGGAAGGAACACCAGUGGCGAAGGCGACCACCUGGACUGAUACUGACACUGAGGUGCGAAAGAGUGGGGAGCACACAGG